rnacentral:rRNA from 1 species
GACGAACGCUGGCGGCGUGCUUAACACAUGCAAGUCGAACGGAAAGGCCCUGCUUUUGUGGGGUGCUCGAGUGGCGAACGGGUGAGUAACACGUGAGUAACCUGCCCUUGACUUUGGGAUAACUUCAGGAAACUGGGGCUAAUACCGGAUAGGAGCUCCUGCUGCAUGGUGGGGGUUGGAAAGUUUCGGCGGUUGGGGAUGGACUCGCGGCUUAUCAGCUUGUUGGUGGGGUAGUGGCUUACGAAGGGUUUGACGGGUAGCCGGCCUGAGAGGGUGACCGGCCACAUUGGGACUGAGAUACGGCCCAGACUCCUACGGGAGGCAGCAGUGGAGAAUAUUGCACAAUGGCCGGAAGCCUGAUGCAGCAGCGCCGCGUGCGGGAUGACGGCCUUCGGGUUGUAAACCGCUUUCGCCUGUGACGAAGCGUGAGUGACGGUAAUGAGUAAAGAAGCACCGGCUAACUACGUG